CGGAGGAAAAGAAACCAACAGGGAUUGCCUCAGUAACGGCGAGUGAAGCUGGACAAAAGCUCACAAUUUGAAAUCUAGCACCUUCGGUGUUCGAGUUGUAAUUUGAAGAUGGUAACCUUGGGUUUGGCUCUUGUCUAUGUUCCUUGGAACAGGACGUCAUAGAGGGUGAGAAUCCCGUCUGAUGAGAUGCCCAUUCCUAUGUAAGGUGCUAUCGAAGAGUCGAGUUGUUUGGGAAUGCAGCUCUAAGUGGGUGGUAAAUUCCAUCUAAAGCUAAAUAUUGGCGAGAGACCGAUAGCGAACAAGUACAGUGAUGGAAAGAUGAAAAGAACUUUGAAAAGAGAGUGAAAAAGUACGUGAAAUUGUUGAAAGGGAAGGGCAUUAGAUCAGACUUGGUGUUUUACGAUUAUCUUCUCUUCUUGAGUUGUGCACUCGUAUUUCACUGGGCCAGCAUCGAUUCGGAUGGCAAGAUAAUGGCAGUUGAAUGUGGCUUCACUUCGGUGGAGUGUUAUAGCUUCUGCUGAUAUUGCCUGUCUGGAUCGAGGGCUGCGUCUUUUGAUCUAGGAUGCUGGCGUAAUGAUCUAAUGCCGCCCGUCUUGAA
rnacentral:rRNA from 1 species